rnacentral:rRNA from 1 species
UACGUAGGGGGCGAGCGUUGUCCGGAAUCAUUGGGCGUAAAGAGCGUGUAGGCGGUCCGGUAAGUCCGCUGUGAAAGUCGGGGGCUCAACCCUCGAAUGCCGGUGGAUACUGUCGGGCUAGAGUGCGGAAGAGGCGAGUGGAAUUCCUGGUGUAGCGGUGAAAUGCGCAGAUAUCAGGAGGAACACCUAUUGCGAAGGCAGCUCGCUGGGACGGUACUGACGCUGAGGUGCGAAAGCGUGGGGAGCAAACAGG